GUGCUUGCAUCAGCACAGAUACUAAAAUUAGAACAAUACAAAGAAAAUUAGCACCCUCUGCACAAGGAAGACAUGCAAAUUAAAGAAGUGUUCCAUGUAUUU